UUCCGCGAACCGCCUUCGGUC
rnacentral:miRNA from 1 species